rnacentral:rRNA from 1 species
AGCGAACGCUGGCGGCAGGCCUAACACAUGCAAGUCGAACGCCCCUUCGGGGGAGUGGCGGACGGGUGAGUAACGCGUGGGAACGUGCCCUUUGGUACGGAACAACUGAGGGAAACUUCAGCUAAUACCGUAUGUGCCCUACGGGGGAAAGAUUUAUCGCCAUUGGAGCGGCCCGCGUUGGAUUAGGUAGUUGGUGGGGUAAUGGCCCACCAAGCCGACGAUCCAUAGCUGGUCUGAGAGGAUGAUCAGCCACACUGGGACUGAGACACGGCCCAGACUCCUACGGGAGGCAGCAGUGGGGAAUCUUGCGCAAUGGGCGAAAGCCUGACGCAGCCAUGCCGCGUGUAUGAUGAAGGUCUUAGGAUUGUAAAAUACUUUCACCGGGGAAGGUAAUGACGGUACCCGGAGAAGAAGCCCCGGCUAACUUCGUGCCAGCCGCCGCCGUAA